AGCGAGGCAUCGACCAGCGUGCGACGGUAGCGAGCAGCAAACGACGAUGGUGAGUGAGCGACGACGGUGCGAGCAGCAAACGAUGGUGGCGAGUGAGCGACGACGCCAAGUAAUAAGUUUGUUGAAUCCACUCCCUCUAGCAAGGAAGCAUUUGAUCACAACAAGAAAUGUUGAGGUGGCCAGGCACCAGACCGAAGCUAGGAGCGUCAAGUUAAGCUCAUGUUUUCUCAAUUCAACUAUUGUGCCUCACUUUGAGGUUCCGAGUCCGUUCAAGCCAAGGCUAUUUGGGGUGUUCCAGAUUCACCCUUUUGUCUCUGUUAUGUAAUGAAUGUUUAAGACUUUUGACUGUACAGUUAUGGUAAAGGGAUUAGAUCCCUAACCUGUAUGUUAUGUGUAUCCGAUAUGUAUAUAUGUUUAUGGUUAUGAAUGUGGACUAGUCCAUAAAAGUCUUUUGCCUUCCAGAUUUUCACA